rnacentral:rRNA from 1 species
AGAGUUUGAUCCUGGCUCAGAGUGAACGCUGGCGGCAUGCCUUACACAUGCAAGUCGGACGGCAGCGCGGGAGCAAUCCUGGCGGCGAGUGGCGAACGGGUGAGUAAUACAUCGGAACAUGUCCAGUAGUGGGGGAUAGCCCGGCGAAAGCCGGAUUAAUACCGCAUACGAUCUAUGGAUGAAAGCGGGGGAUCGCAAGACCUCGCGCUAUUGGGGUGGCCGAUGGCGGAUUAGCUAGUUGGGGGGUAAAGGCCUACCAAGGCGACGAUCCGUAGCUGGUCUGAGAGGACGACCAGCCACACUGGGACUGAGACACGGCCCAGACUCCUACGGGAGGCAGCAGUGGGGAAUUUUGGACAAUGGGGGCAACCCUGAUCCAGCAAUGCCGCGUGUGUGAAGAAGGCCUUCGGGUUGUAAAGCACUUUUGUCCGGGAAGAAAUCCCCUGCCCUAAUACGGCGGGGGGAUGACGGUACCGGAAGAAUAAGCACCGGCUAACUACGUGCCAGCAGCCGCGGUAAA